rnacentral:rRNA from 1 species
GAUGAACGCUGGCGGCGUGCCUAAUACAUGCAAGUCGAGCGAAGCGGGCACGGGGGAGUAACACGUGGAUAACCUCCUAUAAGACUGGGAUAACUUCGGGAAACCGGAGCUAAUCCGGAUACGUAUAGAUGGUUCGGCGCUGCAGUAGCUAGUUGGGAAGGUAACGUCUUACCAAGGCAACGAUGCAUAGCAGACCUGAGAGGGUGAUCUGCCACACUGGAACUGAGACACGGUCCAGAAUCCUACGGGAGGCAGCAGUAGGGAAUCUUCCGCAAUGGGCGAAAGCCUGACGGAGCAACGCCGCGUGAGUGAUGAAGGUCUUCGGAUCGUAAAACACUGUCAUAAGGGCAGAGGUACCUAAUCAGAAAGCAACGGCUAACUACGUGCCAGCAGCCGCGGUAAUAC